AGCGAACGUUAGCGGCGCGCCUAACACAUGCAAGUCGCACGAGAAACGGAGCAAUCCGCGGUACAGUGGCGCACGGGUGAGUAACACGUGGAUGACCUUCCCUGGAGUGGUGGAUAACCUGCCGAAAGGCGGGCUAAUACAGCAUAGGACCACGACGCUUUGGCGAUGUGGUGAAAGCGGGCCUCUAUAUAUAAGCUCGCGCUCCGGGACGGGUCCGCGUCCCAUCAGCUAGUUGGUGAGGUAACGGCUCACCAAGGCAACGACGGGUAGCUGGUCUGAGAGGAUGGCCAGCCACACUGGAACUGAGACACGGUCCAGACUCCUACGGGAGGCAGCAGUGGGGAAUCUUGCGCAAUGGGCGAAAGCCUGACGCAGCGACG
rnacentral:rRNA from 1 species